GAGGUUCGACUCGAGCGAAGCGAGAGAACGUUGCAUCAGCAACGGCCCGCAGGGCGAGCCACGCAGUGGCGAGUCAUCCUCUAUCACCGACCA
rnacentral:sRNA from 1 species